CACCGGGACGCACCUCUGACAAUCACGACAAAGAGCUGGAGACGUGGGUAAACAAUGGGAGAUUGACGGGACAAAAGUGAAGUUUGAAUCUUCUCUGGGACUAUGAGAAAGAUAAGAUUUGAGGAGUUGUAAUUUAACUUCAGAUACAGUCCACACCUAGUCCAGAUCUACAACCUGCUGAUCAAGACAGAUGUUGACUAGAGCAAAGUCAUGCGCGUGCCUGCUCCACAAACGUACAGUUUCGCUCCGGUGCUGGGAUUACGCCUAAGGUCUGUCACUAUGGAGCAGCUCUGUUACAAAGGUCAGACGUAAAUAGUUCAGUUGAAUGGGGAGGCUUAAUUUCUGUCUGCCUGUCUGUCUGUCCAGUUGACGUUGGGGAUUACACAUAACCACUGUGAAUUACUCUUGCGAUUCUGUGUGUGUUUUGAGCACUUCUCGUUUGUGUGUUAGUAGCAGCGACAAUAAAGAUCAUAAAAGUUGUCGAAACUUAGGUCAGAGGGACGUAAUGGUAGUGGUUGACGCAAGGCCGGAGCCACUCAUACAUUCCUCUCAUUGUUCAGGGGCCCUGUAAGUCUGCAAGCUCCCAAACCUCCAUGAAAGGAAGGGAAUCCAGGGACUACUGUACUCUAGCUUAGCCACUCCGGUGCAAAGAUGGCUCGCAAGCUCUUCCUGUCUACUCCUCUGUCUUGAGUUACUUAUGGAAGUAUCUGUGAAGGCCAAUCUGAGUAUAAGUUAUCACUAUAGACUUUAGAAAAUGAAGCUAGAAGAGGGUACGGUGAAUUAAACAACCGAGAACAUAGGAGAAAGGUAAGAGUUAUUAUUUCUUUAAUCAUACUGUAGCUGGUUGUGGCAAAGAAAGUGGAGAGUAGAGAGUUUGGUUUGUAGAAGUUUGGUGGAGUGGCAGGCUGAUUGGGGUGGGUGUGCCCUCAGAUGUAUAGACCCAGGCCUCGGAAACCCUGGCGUAGUGGAAUAAAAGUGUGUGGUUUGUGUACAUCAUGUGUGUAUGCAUUGCAGUGGCAGCAGCACAGCACUGGAUAAGUACAGGGCGGCUAGUGGUACUGGUGGUGAGGCUGUUUGGCAACGAGUCAGGCUUAUAGGAUAGAGUUACACUGGGCUGAAGGGAUCAACCAAGAGCCUGGGCUGGGCGCUUCCCUUUACAACACUAUUUAACCUUAAAAAUCCAUACCUGGGAAUACUUUUUCUUCUGUCCCAAAUGCAGUACACUGCUUCAACAUGCUUAGUUUUAAUCUUGGGAAAAUAUGAAAACAUACAAGUCCCAAAUCCGCUGAAUGUCAUUGAAUGUCACAGCCGGAGUGAUAAUUACACCCUCGCACGCAACAUGAAACAAAUACAGUUUUUAGUCACUCAUAGCCAGACGCUCGGUGUCUGGUGUGAGCGGCCACUGAUAGGGCGUGGUGCUGUGAGUAAGGUGAACAAGGUCAACAAUCUGUGGUUAAACCGGCAGCAUGUAAAUGAGGCUUACAAUUUUAGUCAUUGUAAUGGUCUAUAUGAAGGAAGGCUGAUUACUAUUAAUCUUUAGCUUUUUGCUGUAAGUGGUUUUAGCUUGAAUAUUGUGCCACUUUUUUUAGUAGGUUUUUCGCCUUUAUAGUUGGUAGUGUAAAACUGGUGUAAAUGAUAGAAAAGCGUAUUUGAUCACAUAGAAGUCAUUUUUGCACUGGGAAUUAAGAAAUUAUUGUAACAUACAUACAUAACAUACACAUCUACUUUGAUACACUACUGCUUGCCAUUGCAACUGGAUACCUGGCUUUCACGUGUCUUUAGUGUCUUUAAAAACAAAUUGCCCACUGUAAAAGUCUUUGUACUAAGCAUCCAUAGUUAAAGUUGCAAAGCAGUGUAGAGCAGUGAGUGAGUGAGUGGUGGGUUCAUCCUCAUUGCUGUUUCCUCACAGCGGUUAGCAGGCCUGAGGUGCAAGUGAUGUCAGAUGGCGUGUAUUUUUGUGUUAUUGUAUAUUCAUGCAACAGAUUGAGAGUACUUAUACCAUAAUUGUAUAUGUUAAUUGAUUGGAACUGAAAUUGUGGUUCAUAUAUUCUGAGUGAGCAUAGGAAAGGGGAGAGGGAUGAGAUGUGUUGAAAAAAACAAGAGGUCGAGAUCCAGCUGUCUCAACAGAGGCUUUUCCACUUAACCGUGUGCCCUUGUGUAAACGGCAAAGUCAGUCCUGGACAGGCUCAAGAACACAGAAAAAAUCUGUGGCCACGUCUACACCCACAUCUCCAUAUGCUGUUUGCUCCAUUUUAAGUGUAGUCCUAGCUAUAUAUGCCAAUAGUAUAAACAGUACAGUCAUUUAAAACCAACAAAAUUACCCCCGAACUAAGUGGAACUCAUGAAGACAGUAUGGAAACAUUUUGAUUUGACCAAAGUUUUAUCUGCUGGAAAUCUGCAUAAACGCUCUGGCACGGGAUAGGCACAAUACAGCAUAGCUGUCCUUUAUGAGAGUGUGCAGCGUUUGAAAAUACCACUUUGACUUCAAGUUCAGACUCAAGUUCAAAUGUAUCACCCCAGAUCUCAAAGUGCGGAGGCCUUGUUGAGAUCCCUGUGUUUUGGCAUUGAGGUGUUUGGCAGCGCAUGUCAAAAGCAGAAUACAUUUAUUACAGGGGGAAUGGGAAGGAAUGAGCUCAUAGGCAUUAACGGCUGCGGGUUCGAACGAGGGGAAAAGAGGAGAGAAGGAGGGAGAGAAGGAGGGACAGCGAAGCGAUGGAAAAGAUGAAAAGACUGAGAAAAUAACACACGAGAUGAGUCUGUGCCAGAUAAAAGGGCGGUUUAGACCAAAAGAGGAGAGUUUGAGUUUGACAGGAAUUAGCAUGGCGUCUGUGUGGUGAAAGCGGGACCUUAAAUGACCUUCUCUCUGAAGGCACCAUCACUAAGCGAGACUACAUGUGCGCAGAUCACAUGAUCUAUUAAAUGAGGUGGAUGACGAAUAUAACAACAAAACUAUAUCACAAAAACAGAAAGUCAUUAAACAACACAAAAUAUUACUAUUACUGCUCAUUCGUUAAUCAGUUGUAAUAACUGUGUUAAACCCUUUGCGACCUAUUUACUAGUUUGCCUCAUAAAAUACAUUAUAAACAAAACAAAGAUUAUCUCCCUUUUGAAUGUGUAAGAAAGUAUUGUUUAAGUUAGUUGAAAAAAUCUGCAGAAAUUACACCUCAGCUUUGGUAAUUAUCACAGAAAAUGUUAGAAUUAAUGUUGUAUAGUAGAGUAGUACAGAUUAAGAGUUAAACGGAUAUAGUACAAUUUGCUGUCAUUAGACGAUUGAACUCUUGCGAGAACCUAUAGCUUACGAGGCACUAUAUAUUUGGAGGCCUAGGUGCAAGAAGCCUCACCUGGGCCCCCUUCUAAUAUUAUUUAAUAGGAAGAGGGUCUAAUUCUGUUUUCUGUUGUCCCUGGUACAACGGACAAUAGAUCCCUUUGUCCCCCCCGCCUACUCUCCUGAUUCAGAACUAAAUAAAUAAGUCAUCAUAUUGCUCUCAUUUUGUUAUAACAGGGACCACAGUGACAGCAGACAACCAGGUCAGACCUAUUUAGACCCUGGACUUCCCCAAAAGUGUCCUACUGACUCAUACCUAUGGCAGAAUGCUCACACGGCUUAAAAUAUAAACAGGAAUGAGGUGGCUACAUGGCAUUUAGUCUGAUUGAGGCCAUUGGAACAUCCUUUAAAAUGUUUCUUGUCUUGACAAGUAAUAUCAAACAGUACUUAAGGAAAUUAUUUGCCCCAAGGUGCACAGUGAAGGGACUUGCUAUAGAUACGGCAUUAUCAGAUAUACCGGUUACAGCCUUUACAUGUGAAAUUCAGAUUUUCUUUUGAGAUUUGGCACAUUUGUGAUUAUUGCAGAGGAAACACGGACCAGUGCACUCGACAUAGGGGCACAUAUAAAGGGGCAGAGGCAGGACACCGUCUUUCAAGGGAGUGCCACUUGACUGGUCAUUUCCUUCUAACCUAAUUCUCCAUUCUGUCAUUGAAAAGCUAUUUUUAUAAGAGGCCACAGGAAGUCUGGGAGUUGACAAGAACACGCACAUACAGUAUACACACAGCUAUGAGAAAGGCUACACUACAGUUACUAAGUAACAUACUAAAAUGCAACAUAAACUCACACAUACAUGUAUCGUCUUUUGUUAAGUGCUAAAAUAAAAUGAGCCAAUACUAAAUAGUAAGAUUUCACACAUCUUUGUAGUGCAAGUUUUUUAUCAGACAAAUAAUUUUGAUUAAUUUGUGUAUUUCUGUUGGCCAGGGGAAUUCCUGGCAGAGUGAUUUUUGACACUCCAUAACUAAAUCACAUUGCCAGGGAUUUCCAAUGGCUGACAUGAAAAGUUCGUCUUAUAUUUAGAUAUUAUAUUUUCAAAAACAAUCUUUGUGUGCACCUGCUCCUGAGCUGGCUGUGCGGCCUCAGGACUUAGCUCACAUGUGAACAGUGAAUGUCGGCCAUGUUCACAGUGGUUAAGUUCUGCCGCCACAGGGCUGCAGUCUACAGGGGGCAGUAAAGGUCACUGGGGGAACAUAAUACAUAAAACAAAAGGUUUAGGGCUAGUUUUAUAGAUAGUGGAUACAAACCUUUAACAGAAAAUUUUGUCAUAUAUUCUUUUUCAUUAAUCACAUCCAAUCUAACAGCAUGAGUGAAGAGCCUGCAGAGAGGUUCAAAGAUGGUCUAAUGGUCAGCGGGGGUGCAGCAGGUAUACAGUUGGAGGGGAGUUUCUCGUGAGAGCCGGUAAUGUGGUGAAUUAGCUGAAAGCGUGCGACCAGUGUCUGUUAAAUGUCAGGGCUCUCAUUAGUGCGGAAAGGCUAUGAGCGAGCGAUAUGUCGUCAUUUGUAUCCACAGCUGCCCAGGUCUCACAGUGGCAGUACGGUGUGUUUCUACCUUUUGAUUUGCCUGUGUGUGUGUGUGCGCGUGUGUGUGUGUGUGUGUGUGUAAGUGAGUGUGUGUGUGUCCCUCGCUGGGCUGGUCUCCUGUGCCUGCUGUGCUGAUAAUCAGUGUGUGACGUUGGCUGGCUCAGUUCAGCAGGAACAGGGGACUGGUCUCAUUUCUAUUUAAGACCACUCUGAUAACUUUGCUUAUAUAUUACUUGCUGGUAUAUACAAUGGAUGUACUGACGUGUGCACAAAAGACUUGGAGAGGUGUCAGAAUGUGGCUUUGAUGUUGUCUGUGGUUAUUGUGUUUACCAUAGAAUGUGAUAUUUUUUCCAGUUACAUAUGACAGACGAUUUCCUCAUGUUGUUUCUGUGAACUGUAUUGGAAACCUGAAAAAAAAAUAAAAAUACAACAUGAGCUGCAGGUGAUUAUAAAAUAGCUGCAUUUGAAAAUUUUACUUAAAAGCCAAAGGAGCAUUUCUAAAUAUGUAGAAAAAAUAAAAAUAAGUGCUUUACGUGUUUUGUUGUUGUAAUUAAAUGUAUCCAUUGUUUAUUUUGUUAUAUGUGAUAUUAUGUGUAGAAAUCUGGAAACUAUGUGUGAUAUAAAAAUAAUUAUUUAAAUAAAGAAGCUAAAGUA